ACGACAGGCAAUGCAAGUAAAGAAGAAAGGCAGACAGGCAACGCAACAAAGAGAUAGAAUCUACAGUAGAGAACAUUAGUGAUUUGGAGGAUGGUCAAAGCCAUCGUGUGGGGAAGUCGCUUUUACACUCAGUGAAGUGGGAGCGCAUUAUUUUGGAUGAGGCUCACUUUGUCAAAGAUAGGCAAUGUAAUACUGCAAAAGCAGUUCUCGGACUAGAGUCUUCAUACAGAUGGGCUUUAAGUGGAACACCUCUUCAAAAUCGUGUUGGGGAGCUCUAUUCUCUUUUCCUCAAAACAAUGUUCUGAAUGCUCUCACAGUUCUGUAUGGCACUUUUGUUGGUGGAAUCGAUAUAUAGCGAAUCCUAUACAAGCACAUGGAAAUGCCGUUGGCAGAAGGCGAGCAAUGAUAUUACUAAAACACAAUUUUGAAAAACAUUUUGCUGAGACGCACAAAAAAGGGAAGAGCUGCUGAUCUUGCACUUCCACCUAGAAUUGUUACUUUGAGGCGGGAUACAUUGGACAUUAGAGAAGAGGAUUAUUACACAUCAUUGUACAAUGAGAGCCAAUCUAACCUUGUGCGGUGUGCAUAUUGAUUGGUAGGUAUUUCACUUUCUUCUCUGGGCUUGUGGGACUUUGAGUAUCGCAUUGUAUGUCAACAAGUGAAUGUCACUUCUUUGGAGAAAGUGAUGAAGCACUUCAUGCAAACCUUAUAGGAGAAAGCAGAGUGGGCGCAAGAUUGGAAGUAUCUUUUCAUACAUAUCGGGGAUAAGCUUUGCUUCAGCAUCUUCAGUGCUAGAAGUGCAGUUGGCCCAAUAUGUUCCUGCCCUGGAAAGAAUUGCCAUCCUGAGGUUGCUUAAGCAAGUGCUUUAAAGUGCUCAAGAUUA